GACGAACGCUGGCGGCGUGCCUAAUACAUGCAAGUUGAGCGCUGAAGGUUGGUACUUGUACCAACUGGAUGAGCAGCGAACGGGUGAGUAACGCGUGGGGAAUCUGCCUUUGAGCGGGGGACAACAUUUGGAAACGAAUGCUAAUACCGCAUAAAAACUUUAAACACAAGUUUUAAGUUUGAAAGAUGCAAUUGCAUCACUCAAAGAUGAUCCCGCGUUGUAUUAGCUAGUUGGUGAGGUAAAGGCUCACCAAGGCGAUGAUACAUAGCCGACCUGAGAGGGGGACCGCCCCAUUGGGAACUGGACAAGGCCCAAAACUCCAAGGGGAGCCAGCGGAGGGGAUCUUUCGGAAAGGGAGGAAGUUCGGACCGGGAAAGGCGGGGGGGGGAAGAAGGGUUUCGGAUCGUAAAACUCUGUUGGUAGAGAAGAACGUUGGUGAGAGUGGAAAGCUCAUCAAGUGACGGUAACUACCCAGAAAGGGACGGCUAACUACGUG
rnacentral:rRNA from 1 species